GAUGAACGCUAGCUACAGGCUUAACACAUGCAAGUCGCGGGGCAGCAUGAAGUCAGCUUGCUGACUUUGAUGGCGACCGGCGCACGGGUGAGUAACGCGUAUCCAACCUGCCUGUUACCACGGCACAGCCCGUCGAAAGGCGGAUUAAUGCCGUAUGUGGUCCUUUGCGGGCAUCUAAUUAGGACUAAAGGUUCAGCGGUAACGGAUGGGGAUGCGUCCGAUUAGCUAGACGGCGGGGUAACGGCCCACCGUGGCUACGAUCGGUAGGGGUUCUGAGAGGAAGGUCCCCCACACUGGAACUGAGACACGGUCCAGACUCCUACGGGAGGCAGCAGUGAGGAAUAUUGGUCAAUGGGCGUAAGCCUGAACCAGCCAAGUAGCGUGAGGGAAGACUGCCCUAUGGGUUGUAAACCUCUUUUGUGCGGGGAUAAAGUGUGGGACGUGUCCCAUAUUGCAGGUACCGCACGAAUAAGGACCGGCUAAUUCCGUGCCAGCAGCCGCGGUAAUACGGAAGGUCCGGGCGUUAUCCGGAUUUAUUGGGUUUAAAGGGAGCGCAGGCCGUCCUUUAAGCGUGCUGUGAAAUGCCGCGGCUCAACCGUGGCACUGCAGCGCGAACUGGAGGACUUGAGUACGCACGAGGUAGGCGGAAUUCGUGGUGUAGCGGUGAAAUGCUUAGAUAUCACGAAGAACUCCGAUUGCGAAGGCAGCUUACCGGAGCGCAACUGACGCUGAGGCUCGAAAGCGCGGGUAUCGAACAGGAUUAGAUACCCUGGUAGUCCGCGCGGUAAACGA
rnacentral:rRNA from 1 species